rnacentral:rRNA from 1 species
GGCGUGGAUUAGGCAUGCAAGUCGAGCGGAAAGGCUACCUUCGGGUAGUACUCGAGCGGCGCAUGGGAGAGUAACGCGUGGACACCUGCCCCUAGCUACGGCAUAGCGGCGGGAAACUGCCGGUAAUACCGUAUAAUGUCUCCGGACUAAAGGUGUGAUUCCGGCUAGGGAGGGGUCCGCGUCCUAUUAGGAAGAUGGUGGGGUAACGGCCUACCAUUCCUGAGAUGGGUAGCGGGUGUGAGAGCAUGGCCCGCCUCACUGGGACUGAAACACUGCCCAGACACCUACGGGUGGCUGCAGUCGAGAAUCUUCGGCAAUGGGCGAAAGCCUGACCGAGCGACGCCGCGUGCGGGAUGAAGGCCUUCGGGUUGUAAACCGCUGUCAGAGGGGAGGAAAUGUUUGCGGGCUAUCCCGCUUACUUGACCCAUCCUCAGAGGAAGUACGGGCUAAGUUCGUGCCAGCAGCCGCGGUAAUACGAACCGUACGAACGUUAUUCGGAAUCACUGGGCUUAAAGAGUGCGUAGGCGGCCUAGCAAGUUGGGUGUGAAAUCCCUCGGCUCAACCGAGGAACUGCGCCCAAAACUGUUAGGCUUGAGGGAGGCAGAGGUGAGCGGAACUAAUGGUGGAGCGGUGAAAUGCGUUGAUAUCAUUAGGAACACCGGUGGCGAAGGCGGCUCACUGGGCCUCUUCUGACGCUGAGGCACGAAAGCUAGGGGAGCGAACGGGAUUAGAUACCCCGGUAGUCCUAGCUGUAAACGAUGAGCACUAGGUUGUGGGACCUUCCACAGUUUCACGACCGUAGCGAAAG